rnacentral:rRNA from 1 species
CAUAUCAAUAAGCGGAGGAAAAGAAACUAACAAGGAUUCCCCUAGUAACUGCGAGUGAAGCGGGAAAAGCUCAAAUUUAAAAUCUGGCAGUCUCUGGCUGUCCGAGUUGUAAUCUAGAGAAGCGUUAUCCGCGCUGGACCGUGUACAAGUCUCCUGGAAUGGAGUAUCAUAGAGGGUGAGAAUCCCGUCUUUGACACGGACUACCAGGGCUUUGUGAUGCGCUCUCAAAGAGUCGAGUUGUUUGGGAAUGCAGCUCAAAAUGGGUGGUAAAUUCCAUCUAAAGCUAAAUAUUGGCGAGAGACCGAUAGCGAACAAGUACCGUGAGGGAAAGAUGAAAAGAACUUUGGAAAGAGAGUUAAACAGUACGUGAAAUUGCUGAAAGGGAAACGCUUGAAGUCAGUCGCGUUGGCCAGGGAUCAACCUUGCUUUUGCUUGGUGUACUUUCUGGUUGACGGGUCAGCAUCAAUUUUGACUAUUGGAAAAAGGUCAAGGGAAUGUGGCAUCUUCGGAUGUGUUAUAGCCCUUGGUUGCAUACAAUGGUUGGGAUUGAGGAACUCAGCACGCCGCAAGGCCGGGUUUUUAACCACGUACGUGCUUAGGAUGCUGGCAUAAUGGCUUUAAUCGACCCGUCUUGAAACACGGACCAAGGAGUCUAACAUGCCUGCGAGUGUUUGGGUGGAAAACCCGAGCGCGCAAUGAAAGUGAAAGUUGAGAUCCUCUGUCGUGGGGAGCAUCGACGCCCGGACCAGACCUUUUGUGACGGUUCCGCGGUAGAGCAUGUAUGUUGGGACCCGAAAGAUGGUGAACUAUGCCUGAAUAGGGUGAAGCCAGAGGAAACUCUGGUGGAGGCUCGUAGCGAUUCUGACGUGCAAAUCGAUCGUCAAAUUUGGGUAUAGGGGCGAAAGACUAAUCGAACCAUCUAGUAGCUGG